rnacentral:misc_RNA from 1 species
GCUACUACCGAUUGAAUGGUUUAGUGAGGACUCCUGAUUGGCGCCGCCGCCCCGGCAACGGAGCAGCGGACUGCUGAAAAGUUGUUCAAACUUGAUCAUUUAGAGGAAGUAAAAGUCGUAACAAGGUUUUCGUAGGUGAACCUGCAGAAGGAUCAAGAGCGGAAGAGCGUCGUGGAGGGAAAGGGUGGAGAUCUCGGGUGGCGGCGUAUCAUUAAAAAAAAAAAAAAAAGAAGAGACAGAGAUCGCACGAGUUAACAUAUGUAUACAAGAGUAAAC